rnacentral:pre_miRNA from 1 species
UUAACUCAUAUUUGUAUGGAGUGGGAUCGGUUGCCUAUGCUUGCCGCUAGGGGCGCUGUUCCAACUGCAUACAAAAUUGGGCUA